rnacentral:lncRNA from 1 species
AUUCUUCAGCUAGCAGCACUCCUCCGUAUCGUGGUGGUGAUUGCGGUGGAAGUGGCAGUACUUCUUUCGAUUCUUUUGAUUCGGCUUGACUCUCAUUUUUUUAAGAUGACGUAUGAUGUUCUGGUUGUCAAUUUUCAUCAGGAUUUGAGUGUGGGGGGUCGUUAGAGGAGUGUAGUUGUAGAAGCAUCUUUAGGGACUCUUUGUCCUCUUUUGCUUCCAAGGGUGGUUCUCUCCAUCCUCUUUUCGAUCUCUAUGAUCAUCAUCAUGGGG